rnacentral:lncRNA from 10 species
AUUUUACCAUCACCUGUCCUGGCUUUUUCUAUGGACAACCUGAGUUUAGUAUGCCUACCACCAAGUGAAGAUGAUGACUGGGGUGAUGAUGAUGAUGGUGAUGAUGAUGUCCAGAUUUUACCAUCACCUGUCCUGGCUCGUCCUGAGGAUGGCCUGUUUUUAAGAUGCUCACCACAAUGCAAAGAUGAAGAUGAUGAUGACGAUGAUGGUGAUGUUGAUUGUGAUGAUGAUGAUGAUGUCCAGAUAAGAGCUUGGAAAGGAAACGAGAUAGGAUUUCACCAUUUUGGCGAAGCUGGUCUGAAACUCCUGACCUCAAGAGGUCCACCCAACUCGGUCUCUGAAACUGCUGGAAGUACUGGUGUGAGCCACAGCACAUGGCCUCAUUGCAUCUUCUAGGCAUUCUUUGAAAAAGAAUGUGUUGACUGCAGGUGCAGCCAUGUUGCUGGAAAUGAUAGGAUUCCAUGAAUUUUGAUGGCAUAAAAGUAUUCCAUCCUGUCUGUGUACCAGAGAUUCUUCAUCCCUUCAUCUGUGGAUGGACAG